rnacentral:rRNA from 1 species
GUAGGCGGAUCUUUAGAGAUAGAGGAGUGCCUUCGGGAACGCUGAGACAGGUGCUGCAUGGCUGUCGUCAGCUCGUGUUGUGAAAUGUUGGGUUAAGUCCCGCAACGAGCGCAACCCUUAUCCUUUGUUGCCAGCGCGUGAUGGCGGGAACUCAAAGGAGACUGCCGGUGAUAAACCGGAGGAAGGUGGGGAUGACGUCAAGUCAUCAUGGCCCUUACGAGUAGGGCUACACACGUGCUACAAUGGCAGAUACAAAGAGAAGCGACCUCGCGAGAGCAAGCGGAACUCAUAAAGUCUGUCGUAGUCCGGAUUGGAGUCUGCAACUCGACUCCAUGAAGUCGGAAUCGCUAGUAAUCGUAGAUCAGAAUGCUACGGUGAAUACGUUCCCGGGUCUGAAACCACACCGA